CGGGUGAGUAACACGUGGAUAACCUACCUAUAAGACUGGGAUAACUUCGGGAAACCGGAGCUAAUACCGGAUAAUAUAUUGAACCGCAUGGUUCAAUAGUGAAAGACGGUUUUGCUGUCACUUAUAGAUGGAUCCGCGCCGCAUUAGCUAGUUGGUAAGGUAACGGCUUACCAAGGCAGCGAUGCGUAGCCGACCUGAGAGGGUGAUCGGCCACACUGGAACUGAGACACGGUCCAGACUCCUACGGGAGGCAGCAGAU
rnacentral:rRNA from 1 species